rnacentral:rRNA from 1 species
UACGUAGGGUGCGAGCGUUAAUCGGAAUUACUGGGCGUAAAGCGUGCGCAGGCGGUUUUGUAAGUCCGAUGUGAAAUCCCCGGGCUCAACCUGGGAACUGCAGUGGUGACUGCAAGGCUUGAGUGUGGCAGAGGGAGGCGGAAUUCCGCGUGUAGCAGUGAAAUGCGUAGAUAUGCGGAGGAACACCGAUGGCGAAGGCAGCCUCCUGGGAUAACACUGACGCUCAUGCACGAAAGCGUGGGGAGCAAACAGG